rnacentral:rRNA from 1 species
AGUGAACGCUGGCGGUAGGCCUAACACAUGCAAGUCGAACGGCAGCACAGUAAGAGCUUGCUCUUACGGGUGGCGAGUGGCGGACGGGUGAGGAAUACAUCGGAAUCUACUUUUUCGUGGGGGAUAACGUAGGGAAAUUUACGCUAAUACCGCAUACGACCUACGGGUGAAAGCAGGGGAUCUUCGGACCUUGCGCGAUUGAAUGAGCCGAUGUCGGAUUAGCUAGUUGGCGGGGUAAAGGCCCACCAAGGCGACGAUCCGUAGCUGGUCUGAGAGGAUGAUCAGCCACACUGGAACUGAGACACGGUCCAGACUCCUACGGGAGGCAGCAGUGUGGAAUAUUGGACAAUGGGCGCAAGCCUGAUCCAGCCAUACCGCGUGGGUGAAGAAGGCCUUCGGGUUGUAAAGCCCUUUUGUUGGGAAAGAAAAGCAGCAGGUUAAUACCCCGCUGUUCUGACGGUACCCAAAGAAUAAGCACCGGCUAACUUCGUG